AAAAAAAAAGGAAGUGAUAGGAAAAGGUACCAGGUUGGGAGCCACUGAGAACAAAGCUAAGGUUUGGGCUAGUAUGCACUCACUCACCAUAGCCCCUCCCCUGGCUCAGUGUGGUGUGAUCAGAAGAAAAUCUCCAACUCUCAGCUUCUUCGUUGGUAGAGAGAGAGAAGAAUGGAGUUUGAAUUCAACAUCCUGGCUUUUCAGGGGGCUGCCCAAGGGACUGGUUUUUGUUUCACCUGUCUUGGAAUGCUGAUAUGACUUUAGGUAUACUUUAGGUACCCAGGGGUUACUGAGAACAAAAGAGAGCUAAGUAGUUUGCUGCUGCUCCAGAAGACCUGCAGUGCAGCAGACAGAGGCUGAUACAGCUCAGUGGCCUCUCUCUUGGUGAAGGGGGAAGGAAUAGGAAGAAGAGUGGAGUAUGCAUCCAACAUUCUGGCUUUUGAGGGGGCUGCUUGAGGAACAAGUUUCUGUCUCAUUGACUUGACAUGCUGAUGAGAUUCAGCAUACUCUAGAAGCCUAGGGCUGCUGAGAACAAAAGAGAGCUGGGCAGCUUAAGGGAGCUCAAGAAAACCUGCAGUGCUACAGAAAGACACCAGAGAAAGCAAGAGAUUACUAGCUUCUGAAAAAAGAAACUGUGAAAUCACUCUAAUUGGGAUUUUACAUGCACAAGUCCAGAGAAUAGACACCCAGAAAAGGUUUGAAAGGCCCACAGGAUCUCUAGUUGGGCUGAUUUUGUUUUACCCGUACAAAGUUAGUCUGCAAAUACAGAGAGGGGGCUAUAUUUAUUUAUUUUUCUCAAAUGUGUAGAUCUCACCACAGAUUACAAGGCACAUAAAGAAACAAGGAAAUUUGGCAAGUGCAAAAGAGUAAAAUAAAUAUUCAGAAACCAACCUUAAAGAAACAUAGAUAUAUGAACUACCUGAGAAAGAAUUCAAAAUAACCAUCAUAAAGAAGUUCAAUGAGCUCAGGAAAAGGAUGAGAAUGUUAACAAAGAGAAAAUAUAAAAAGAACCAAACAGAAAUUUUGGAGCCAAAGAAUAUAAUAACUGAAUUGAAAAAUUCACUGGAAGGGUCAAACAUUCACUAAACGGGCUAGGUGCAGUGGCUCACACCUGUAAUCCCAGCAUUUUGAGAGGCUGAGGCAGGAGGAUCACUUGAGCCCAGGACUUCGAAAUCAGCCUGGGAAACAUAGUGAGAUGCCAUCUCUACAAAAAAUUAAUAAAAAAUUAGCCAGACAUGGUGGCACAUGCCUAUAGUCUCAGCUACUUGAGAGGCUGAGGCAGGAGGAUCACUUGAGCCCAGAAGCUUGAGGCUGCAAUUAGCUAAGAUCACACCACUGCACUCCAGCCUGAGCAACAGAGUGUGACUCUGUCCCAAAAAAAAAAAAAAUUGCUAAAGGGGUUAAGCUUCAGACUUGAUCAGUCAGUAAACUCAAAGACAGGACAUUUGAAAUUAUCCAGUCAGAGCGGGAAAAAAAAAGAUGAAUGAAAAAGAAUGGGCUGGGAUUACAGGCGUGAACCACCGUGCGUGGCCAAGAGACUCACUUUAGAUUAAGGACACACAUAGGCUGAAUAUAAAAGAACGGAAGAAAAAAUGCAUGCAAAUGUUAAACAAAAGGGAGCAGGGGUGGCCAUAUUUAUGUCAGACAAAAGAGACUUUAAGUCAAAAGUUGUCACAAGAGGUAAAGAAGAACAUUAUAUAAUGACAAAUGGGUCAGUUCACUAGAAACAUAUAAACUUUUAAAAUAUAUAUGCACCCAGUUUCAGAGCACCCAAGUAUAAGAAGCAAAUAUUGACCAAACUGAAGGGAGAAAUAGAUAGCAACACAUUAAUAGUAGGAGAUUUCAAAUGCCACUAUCAACAACUGAUAGACUAUCAAGGCAGAAAAUUAAUAUGUAAACAAAAGACUUGAACAACACUGUAGGCAAAUAGUUCUAAGAGACAUAUAUGCAAUGUUCCAUCCAAUAGCAGCAAAGUACACAUUCUUCUCGAGAAUAUACAGAUCAUUCUCCAGGAUAGAUCACUUGUUAGGUGAUAAAAUAAGUCUUAACAAAUUUAAAAAGAUCGAAAUAAUACCAAGUAUCUUGUCUGAUGACAAUGGGAUGAAACUAGAAAUAGUAGCAGAAGGAAAACUGAAAAAUUCACAAAUAUGAAAAAAUUAAACAACACACUCUCAAUCAAUGGGUCAAAGAAGAAAUCAAAAGGAUAAUUAGAAAAUAUCUUUAGACAAAUGAAAACAAAUAUACCCAAACUUAUUUGAUACUGCAAGAAUAGUACUAGGAGGGAAAUUUAUAGCAGUGAAGGGCUACAUUGAAAAAGAAGAAAGAUAUCAGUAAACAACCCAACUUUAAACCUCAAGGAACUAGAAAAAGCAAAGCAAAGUGAGCAUAAACUUAGCAGAAGAAGAAAAUAAUAAAAAUUAUGGAAGAAAUAUGUGAACUAGAGAAGAGAAAAAUAAUUGCUGACAUUAUCUGAUAGAUAGAAAACCCUAAAGCUUCCACCAAAAAAUCUGUUAGAACUAAUAAAUGAAUUCAGCAAAGUUACAGAAUACAAAAUCAACAUACAAAAAUUAGUUGUGUUUCUAUAUGCUAAAAACAAAAAAUCCAAAAUGGAAAUGAAGAAAACAGUUCCAGGGCUGGGCACGGUGGCUCAUGCCUGUAAUCCCAGCACUUUGGGAGGCUGAGGUGGGUAGAUCACAAGGAGUUUGAGACCAGAAUGACCAACAUGGUGAAACACCAUAUCUACUAAAAAUACAAAAAUUAGCCGGGCGUGGUGGCACGCACCUGUAAUCCCAGCUACUCCAGAGGCUGAGGCAGGAGAAUCGCUUGAACCCGGGAGGCGGAGGUUGCAGUGAGCUGAGAUUGUGCCACUGCACUCCAGCCUGGGUGACAGAGUGAGACUCUGUCUCAAAAAAGAAAGAAAGAAAGAAAGAAAGAAAGAAAGAAAGAAAGAAAGAAAGAAAGAAAGAAAGAAAACAGUUCCAUUUACAAUAGCAUCAAAAAUAAUAAAUAUAAGAUUGAGGAAUAAAUAUAAGGAGGUGAAAGACUUGUACAGUGGAAACUACAAAACAUUGUUGAAAGAAAUUUAAGAUGAUACAAAUAAAUUGAAAUGUUUCAUUUUCAUGGAUUGAAAGACUUAAUAUUGCUAAAAUGUUCAUACUACUCAAAAUGAUCUACAGACUAAAUGCAAUCCCUGACAAAAUCUCAAUGGCAUUUUUUUUUUUCAGAAAUAGAAAAAAAAAUCCUAAAAUUCUUAUGGAACCACAAAGGACUCUGAACACAAUCAGGGUCCUUUGACAAAAAGACCUGGAUUCUUGAAACUAUCUUAAAAAAACAAAUCUGGAGGGCUCACACGUUCUGACUUGAAAAGCUAUUGCAAAGCUACAGUAAUCAAAACAGUAUGGUACUAGCAUAAAGACAGACAUAUAGAUCAAUGGAAUAGAAUAGAGACCCCAGACAUAAAUCCACACAUAUAUGGUCAAAUGACCUUCAACAAGGUGCCAAGACCACACAAUAGGGAAACUAGUUUCUUCAGCAAAUGGUGCUGGGAAAGCUGAAUAUUCACAGGAAAAUAAUAAAUUUGGACCCUUUUCUGACACCAUACACAAAAGUCAACUCAAAAUGUUAAAGAUUUAAACAUAAGACCUGAAACUACGAAACUUCUAGAAAAAGACAUAGGGGGAAACCUUCAUAACAUUGUUUUGACAAUGAUGUCUUGGACAUGACACUAAAAGCACAAACAACAAAAGCAAAAAUAAACAAGUGGGACUACAUGAAACUAAAAAGCUGUGUGCUCAAAAGAAACAAUUAUAGAGUGAAAAGGCAACCUACAGAAUGGGAGAAAAUAUCUGUAAACCAUAAAUUUCAUGUGGGGUUAAUACCCAAAGUAUAUAAGGACCCCCUACAAAAAAUAAUAAAUAAUCUGAUUUUAAAACGGACAAAAGAUUUGAAUAGACAUUUUCCCAAAGAAGAUGCUCAAACGGCCAACAGAUAUAUAAAAAGAUGCUAAUCACUAAUCAUCAACGAAAUGCAAAUCAAAACCACAAUGAGCUAUCACCUCACAUCUGUUAGAAGGGCCAUUAUAAAAUAAACACACACACACACACACACACACAAACACACAGAAAAUAAGUGUUGGUGAGAAUGCAGAGAAACUGCAACCCUUUGCAUUAUUGGUGGGAAUGUAAAAUGAUGCAGCUGCUAUGAUAAACAGUAUGGAGAUUCUGUAAUAAAUUAA
rnacentral:lncRNA from 10 species